rnacentral:lncRNA from 1 species
GUUAAGAGAACAGCAACAGUGGACGAGAACGUGGUCCAAGUGCAUUUUGAAACAAAAGUAUGGCAGAUGGCAUCCGGACACUGGGAGACCAGGAUUAUGACUCGAAUCGCUCCACCUGGAAAUGAUGGGUUAGCAUCAAAGUCCAUGUCGCAGAACUCAUGUCUGGUGGUCAUUGCCACGGAAUCAGGUUGGAUGCAACCAUAAGGUCCUCCAUGAUGGCAUCCGUUGCUCUAUUCUUUUGGCUGAUUCUAAUGUGAACACCCACCUUCUGCUCUGGACAGGUCUCCUAACAAGAAGUCAUGCCGGUACCCUCUCGCACAUGGAUUUGAG